GUUACCCAUGGUCAGGAAGCAGAUGAUCUUCCUUCUGCGGAAUCAUCAGAAGAUAAGAUGGGUGAAAGCAGGAAUGCUUCAGGAGGAAGCAGGGGUUCUAGAAGGAGAAGGGAGAGUGCUGAAGAACAACUGCACAGCUCAACAAUUCUACAUCUGAUUUCGGAGGCCAUGGAUUUAAUCACUAGACCACACAGCCUCGCAUGAGCUAAGAAAGCAAAGGUGAUGGAACAUGAGGCCAGCGGGGCCAAGGCCAAAGGCCAAAUUCCUGGGCAGUGGCCAAGGGAGAAACCACCCAAAUCUCCCCCCAGCUGGUGGUAAGUAAGGUCACAAUCUCAUCUCUGCCCAUGAAAAAUAACCAGCUUGGAAAGUGCAAGUCCAAACCAUCCCACAGAAUUCAGCGAGUCACAGUGCUCUGCUGGGUGCUAGGAAGACUGAUACUGCUUAGUACAGGGACUUCCUGCUUUGGACCAAAGUCACUGAACUUCUCCGAACCCAAAUUUCCACAGUGCUGUAAUAGAGAUCAUGAGACUCCUUUCCUAGAUGCACUACGAAGACCCACCAGGAAGCGCAGUGAAAUAAUGGUUGUGGAGGAACUUAGUACACAAUAAAUAUCAUUGUCUCUCUUCAGCUUCAUGUCUGGAUAAUAUAAGUCACUGAAACACUGGAAUGAGAGCAUGCUGGAGAAGAACCUGCUUGUGUAAGCUAUCUUCCCUUCCGCGACUGCCUCCCAAGGAUUGGAUACACGUUUCUGACAACUGUACACCUCCCGCAGAAGCCACUCCACAAAUCCAUGUGGACUCGCCCAACCUUGUGUUUCUUCCAUUUUCUCUCUGGUUCAUUGCCAAGAUCCGCCAACGGUUCCUAACUUCAGGAUCUUUCUUGCUACCCUCACUGAACUGGCUAUUUGGACCUGUCAAAUUUCCCCCCUUAAAUACAGCUGGACCUGGACUAUCUUUCUAUCACUGCCCUCUGCUUUCUGCCUUUUCUCUUGUCUGAGCUACUGUAGUAGCCUCCACACUGGUCUCCCAUCAUCCA